GUAUAUAUUAUAUAGGCACAACAUUCUAUUAACAUACAUUGGGGGUAAAUGAAGCAACAUAGACCUGAAAGGUCUACAAAAGGUGCACAGGUGGAGAUAUAAAGAUGACAAGGCGUGCACAUGCUCCCUAGAGAACCAGCAGCAGCCCAUCAGGUUUAUUUCAAUAAUGAUCCUUCCGCAGGUUCACCUACGGAAA
rnacentral:misc_RNA from 1 species